UGCCCAUUGGCCCAGUGGUUAAGGCGUCUGACUGUUAUUUCUCUCGUUUGCAAAUGAGUGAUGACAGGAAAAUCAGAAGAUCCCUGGUUCGACCCCAGGAUGGGCAG